AAAUCAAGAAAGUCUUAUAGGUGAUAUACAGUAAAUGUGAACAGAAGAGCCACUAUGACAUGUAAAGGUGCACCAACAAAUCCAAAUUGACAAAAAAAAAGAAAAAAAAAAGAAGCCAAAGCAACAACCAAAUGAAAAUCAAUCCGAACAAACCCCUGCAAAUCAGAACUCAGAAUAGAUUUCGGAUGGAGUUCAAUCAAAUGGAAGCAACAAUCUGGCUGGGGAACCUCUGGACCCAGUGGCUAAAGCAAAAACCAAAAGAAAAAGGUGCCCAAGCUCAGGAGUACACCUGCUGUAAUCCAAGAACCAAGAGUGAAGAUCAAACUCUUACAGUUUGCACCACCACAGAUAGACGUAAUAUUAAUUGUCAUAUUGUUUAUACACUCCAAAAAAUUAUGGCCCAAUCUAUCAAAAUAAAAAUUGUUAUUCUGUUUUGCUUUAGGGUUUGGAUGUCAAUGCUGACCCCUCAGUGUAUACUAGCCCAAAUACUCCACUUCAGGGAGCACAAGUUAGAGUCAAGCAAUCAAUAACUAGGCCACUAGCACCUCCAAUUCAACACAAUCCAGUCACCCGUCCAUUAAUGAAUCAUACUCUCCAACAGACCAAACCCUUAUCCACAAGACCACUUACUCAGGAGCAACAACACACUAAUGAAUCAAGUAGCAUAGGAACUGCAACAAGUACCUUCAAAUUUUUUCCCACACCAAACCUAAAUGUACCCCCGAGAUUCAAGCCAACAUAUGGCUUUAGGCCACCAAAGCAGAAAUGAUGAACUGAUGUCUUUUUUUUUUUUUUUUGUUAUGCAUCUUGGAUGUCUGCUAGUCUAAGACCUUUUAUUUAAUAUUAUGGAAUAUGUAACAGACUUGGUUAUUGUUUUUUGGGUGUAUCCAUUUAGAUGCAACAUGUUUUCUUGUUUCGAGCUGAGCUAUCAGCAGAGUAAACUAUGCCUAUGUGUAUAGAAUUACGAAUGUAAUUACUGUCUUUGGAAAGCUAUCAGCAGACUAAAUUAUACCUAUGUGCAUAGAAUUAUGAAUGUAAUUACUAUGUUUUUGGAAAUAUAUCAUUCUCCAGGAUUUCAUAGUUCCAAAUCUCUUACACAAAAUUAUAUUAUCAUUAAUGCAACAAAGUCACAAUCUAUUCACAUAGAAUAUGCAAUUAUAGGGGCACAACAAUCCAUAUAUCAACCCUAACCAUACAUCAAUGAUUGCAAUACAAUAUAAUCUAUAUCCCAAACUACAAGAUACUUCACUGUUGCUAAUGAAAUUAACAUGGCUAGCAUAACAGAGACUAUGAACUGAUUACUCCAUUUCUUUGAUUUUCCUUCAAUUCCCAAAUCAACCUUCUAUGCCAGUUGAUCCAAUCUGUUUUCUAGCAUCAUCAUUCUUCUUUCAACAUCACUACCUUUCUCAUGCCCAACAUGACAAGAAAUCAACUCGUCCAGCCACACAAAAUAGUUGCAGUGAGGUCGUUCCGU